rnacentral:rRNA from 1 species
GAGCCCGGAGAUGGAUUCUGAGACACGAAUCCAGGCCCUACGGGGUGCAGCAGGCGCGAAAACUUUACAAUGCUGGAAACAGCGAUAAGGGGACCUCGAGUGCCAGGUUACAAAUCUGGCUGUCGUGAUGCCUAAAAAGCAUUGCAUAGCAAGGGCCGGGCAAGACCGGUGCCAGCCGCCGCGGUAACACCGGCGGCUCGAGUGGUAACCGUUAUUAUUGGGU